AACGAACGCUGGCGGCAUGCCUAACACAUGCAAGUCGAACGAGACCUUCGGGUCUAGUGGCGCACGGGUGCGUAACGCGUGGGAACCUGCCCUUAGGUUCGGAAUAACUCCCCGAAAGGGGUGCUAAUACCGGAUAAUGUCUUCGGACCAAAGAUUUAUCGCCUUUGGAUGGGCCCGCGUUGGAUUAGCUAGUUGGUAGGGUAAAAGCCUACCAAGGCGACGAUCCAUAGCUGGUCUGAGAGGAUGAUCAGCCACACUGGGACUGAGACACGGCCCAGACCCUCAGGGGAGGCAGGAGGGGGGAAAAUGGGAAAAGGGGCGAAAGCCGGACCCAGCAAGGCCGGGGGAGUGAUGAAGGCUUUAGGGUUGUAAAGCUCUUUUACCCGGGAUGAUAAGGACAGUACCGGGAGAAAAAGCCCCGGCAAACCCCGU
rnacentral:rRNA from 1 species